UCCCGUUUAGCUCAGUUGGUAGAGCGCGUCACUAGUAUUUGCCGAUAAGCAUGCUAUGACGAGGUCAGUCGUUCGAGUCGGCUAAUGGGAA